rnacentral:rRNA from 1 species
UCGAACGGAUGACGAGAGCUUGCUCCUUGAUUCAGCGGCGGACGGGUGAGUAAUGCCUAGGAAUCUGCCUGGUAGUGGGGGACAACGUUUCGAAAGGAACGCUAAUACCGCAUACGUCAUACGGGAGAAAGCAGGGGACCUUCGGGCCUUGCGCUAUCAGAUGAGCCUAGGUCGGAUUAGCUAGUUGGUGGGGUAAUGGCUCACCAAGGCGACGAUCCGUAACUGGUCUGAGAGGAUGAUCAGUCACACUGGAACUGAGACACGGUCCAGACUCCUACGGGAGGCAGCAGUGGGGAAUAUUGGACAAUGGGCGAAAGCCUGAUCCAGCCAUGCCGCGUGUGUGAAGAAGGUCUUCGGAUUGUAAAGCACUUUAAGUUGGGAGGAAGGGUUGUAGAUUAAUACUCUGCAAUUUUGACGUUACCGACAGAAUAAGCACCGGCUAACUCUGUG